rnacentral:rRNA from 1 species
CCUACGGGAGGCAGCAGUGGGGAAUAUUGCACAAUGGGCGGAAGCCUGACGCAGCGACGCCGCGUGAGGGAUGAAGGCCUUCGGGUUGUAAACCUCUUUCAGCAGGGACGAAGCGUGAGUGACGGUACCUGCAGAAGAAGCACCGGCUAACUACGUGCCAGCAGCCGCGGUAAUACGUAGGGUGCGAGCGUUGUCCGGAAUUACUGGGCGUAAAGAGUUCGUAGGCGGUUUGUCGCGUCGUUUGUGAAAACCCGGGGCUCAACUUCGGGCUUGCAGGCGAUACGGGCAGACUUGAGUGUUUCAGGGGAGACUGGAAUUCCUGGUGUAGCGGUGAAAUGCGCAGAUAUCAGGAGGAACACCGGUGGCGAAGGCGGGUCUCUGGGAAACAACUGACGCUGAGGAACGAAAGCGUGGGUAGCAAACAGGAUUAGAUACCCUGGUAGUCCACGCCGUAAACGGUGGGCGCUAGGUGUGGGUUCCUUCCACGGGAUCUGUGCCGUAGCUAACGCAUUAAGCGCCCCGCCUGGGGAGUACGGCCGCAAGGCUAAAAACUCAAAAGUAGUAUAGGACGUGNGAGACGCGACGACGACGACGACGGAGGAGAG